UCCGCCGCUGCGGACCUCGCUCCUGCGCCCGACCCUGUGGGACCGCAGAAAAAAGCCGCUCCCUCCUGCCACCAUGCUUCCUACCGUGUCAGCUUGCAACAAGUCUGGUGAAACGAAAACUCAUUCGCAAGCAUUUCAGAAGACAAAGCUCUGAUUUGGACUGGAGGUCUUCAUUUUCACAGUCCCCAAGCCUCAGUAUAUUAACUAUUGCCUUUUUGAUCAAAGUUCUCUGGAAGAAAAACAUGGAGGAGCUGACAACCUUGCUGGACCAACAGAAUCACUGUGCUGAUAAGGUGCACUGCUGGGCAAUUUUUUAUUGCUUGUAAGCUCGCUAUAAUAACAUGAAAAUGGAGUGUUUGUGUUGCAAAGCUCACGUUUAUUUUGAAGUCUUGCUGUAUUUACGAAUAAGUGGAGGGUUUGUGUUAAAAAGGCAAUUCAAGAUUUCUUAGGUCUCACUGUGCUUGGUACUGUACAAAUAUUCAGAGGAAAUAGGAGGCAGAUGAAAGUGCCCUUGCUUCUGUUACUGUGACAAGUCAUGAAAGUGACCUGUUUCAUCACCUUGGAUUUCCAUGUGUCUUAGGAUACAUUGGCUCUCUAAGUUCAUUCUCUUGGGAAAUUUGUGAUGCCAGUUCUACUCCAUAUACAUGUUCUGUUUUUCAGUCAUUUACCAUUCACGAUGCCCAGUUGUUUAUCUACAUCUUACAAAAAAAAUUUUCUUGGCCUCAUACUUUAGCAAGGCAUAGUCAUGCUAUUAAGAAAGCUCUCUGUUUAGUAAUGGAUGAUGCAGACAAUUUCCACUAGCAACAAACAGAAUAAUGCUACUUGGUCUGUGUAAAGUGUUACAUUUGUUUCUGGUUUUAUUUGCAGUGCUUGGCACGUUCCUAUAAUUUCGUUAAGCUAGUGCCAAAUUCUGCUCCUUCACUCACACUGACCAGGUUUUUUUUGUACGCAGAUGUAUGGAAAUGAGUAGAGUUCCAUUCGUGAUAAAGUGCUUCAUGAUGUAACUAGUUGCUUCUGGCUGAAUAAUUGAGCAUUUAUAUAUAAUUCAGUGGUUUCUUAAUGUUUUGGUUUCUCCUUCCUCCUUCUUUAAUAGUGAUUUUGCUAUUGAAGUGCUGGCUGGCGUAGAAAUGGGAAAAUAAUGAUAUUUCAGAGCUGUAGAGUUAAAAAGAAAACAAAAAGAAAAGUUGAAUCUGUACACCCUGGUAUAUAGACCACUGCACAGUGGAAAACCUUCAUUAGUUAAAGGUAUAGUUAAGUCUUAAAAGACUAGAAAUUAGUUUUAGCAACAGCUGGAGUGAAUAGCAACAUGACAGAAUCAAUUCAGUAGAUGCAGUAUUCAGAGCCUGAUUCUCAGUUACAGGAAAGCCAUGCGCUAGCAAUGGGAAAAGAAUUUUGAAGGGUCUUUGUUGUUGCCAGUCUAUUCAUAAGGUAAUGAGAAUCAGCCCAUGUUUACUGGAACUGUAUAAAUAUUUUAAGCAGGACACAUUUUUUUCAUUAACAAAGAGCAUGAACAUGACGUCUAAAGCAGAUAAGCUUUCUAUUCAUUUUGUUUAAGUCACUUGUCACUCCAAGGCUGUGAGGUAAAUAAGAUAAUUAAAACCAAAAUCUUCUUUUGCAUUGCUUUCAAAAGAGGCCAGUAUUUCAUAUAAACCUCAAGAAGCAACUUUGUUCAAGCGUAAGUAAAUGACAGAGUAAGUGUUGAUUCCUGUUUUUUUUCAGAAGGUCAAAAAAACCCACCCACCCCACAAUUUUAGGAAAAAAAAAAAACCCUACAGGCUAAAACACUUGAAAAAGAUGCCCAAGCAAAUUCACAAAUGCUUAUUAUCCAGGACAAAAAGCAAAAACAUGCCAAUGACAGAAAAUAUGGUAUUUCACCUUAAAACUGCUUGGCUUUAGAGCUGAAGUCACACACACUAUCUUCUUUCUGAAUACGCUUGUUACUGGUUGAAGGACAAUUUCACUGUCCAACCAGUGAUAGCUUUUAAGGCUUUCAUACAGUUCAAAGUGAUUUAUUCCGGUUCCGAAGUUAAUUGUGCAAGGAUAAGUUGUGCAAUAAUGACCUUAAAAUGAUAAUUUAGGAAUGCAUCAUGUCUUUCAUAACUCUAUUACAGAUGAGUACUGCAGGCUUAAUAAAUAUGCAUAAAAAUACUGACAAAAUGCCAAUUAAAUACAAAUCCUGUGGCAAUCAGACGUACCUUACAAGGACUACAAUAAUAUCGAUUUCUACAGUCAAAUGGAAAAAUUGUUGAGAGAUCCAGGAAGAUAAUUAUUAGUAUGCAUAAUGUGCAAUCAGGUCAAUAGUACUCCAAAGCAGCUUACCGCAAAGGAAAAAGUUACUCACAGCAAAUUUUCACAGUUUUCACUGUUCUGACUGAAGAGAAAUUGAAGUUUCUCAAAAACAUUAUUUUACAAGCAACUCGGUGCCAUAAUAAAAUUAAAUCUAGAUUCAAGAGAUGUGGAUUUUGAAAAACCUGAAAAAGUGGUACUGUCCUGCAGGAUAAGCUUAAUAUAUCAUGUUCUAAUAAUGUGAGGGUUGGUGCUAAUAAAAAUUACAAUUGUCAGUUAUGUUACUGCUUUCGCUGUGGAGAAUAAACAUCAUUGACUCCUGUUGGAGAAUACCAGAGCUAUUUCCUGAGAAGAGUGGAAUAACAUUGGAUAGCAGGAAUAUUUGGGGGUACAAUAGUAAGGUUUUGAAUCAAAGCAAAACAAAACAAACAAACACCAACAAAUGAAGAAAAUAGCUUUAAAAUCCUCAAGCUGGGAUUCUUAGGUGUUCAUGUGCCUGCAAGAGUGGCAGUGUCAGAACAUCAGCAGCUCCCAGGUCACUUCUCCUACUGACUGCCACCAGCAGCGGUGAUAGGUCAGCUAGGGGAGUCUGCUUACCUUUAAAUAGCAUUCAGUACUCCUCUCAGGUAAUAUCUGCUGAUAGCAGAGAGACUUCGCCCUAGCAAGGAAGAAUCUGACUUUCUCUUCCUUAAUUUCUUCUGCUUGAGCUGCCAAAGCACUAGGCUAGUUAUCAGGCUUGUCACAGAUUUAUCUUCUUCCAAUCUGCGCCCUUUGGGGAGAUAUGUUUGCAGUGAGGUGUCCCGUUCUUUCCUUAGUUGGAUUUCUUUCACUGGAAAAGAGGAAGGGAACCAGAUUGAGGCCUGAGAGCUGUGGUUGCUGCUGACACUUGCACACUUCCUGACUGAUCGGAACGUACCACUGAGAUUCAGGGAUAUUGCUGGGCAAGAGUAGAAAGAUAGCCAGCACCAGUGAUUUAACAUUCCUUGUCAUGGAUCAAAAUAGAUAGGGAAACAGCCAGUUAAAGAUCAGAAAGGAUGCACGUAUAGGAUUUGGAUUUCUUUCAGGUGGCAGUAUAAACACUAACUCAAACUUUAUUUUAUCUCUUUUUAAUAGUAUUGACACUGUCAUGGAAGUGGCUCUUCUCUUUUUUGCAGUUGCUCUUUAUCCAUUCUUUCAAACAAGGUGACCAUGAGCACUUCAAACACUGCAUAGACACACUUCUAACUAUUUUAUGGCUAUCUGCCUAGCUGUGUUUGUGAUGUGCUGUCUAUGUGUGCAGUUAUUCAUAUUGAAUGUGUAAACAUCACAAGUUCAGUGAAGGAGACCUUAAAACGUGUUCUUGUGUUUGGUUACCAUGCUGGAUAUAGCAUUUGCUUUCUCAGGGCUCUGUAACUAACUAUUUCCCCAGAAUAGCUCAAUUGGUGGUACAGGGAGCACUCAGAUAGCAAGCAAAUCAAUGACUUUCAUGUAUCAGAGAGGCAUAAGCACAUGGAGAUGCUGGUUGUGGUACUAUAGCUAGUGCACUGUCUCCUAGUAAGCUAUUUCUGUUUUUCCUACAAAGCAUUUAGUUUUGUUCCACAAGAAACAAUUUCCUGACCUACAGAUGGCUCAAUGAGAUUAUCUUUCUUUUUCCUGUGAUGUGUAGGAUGGAAAUGCUGAUGAACCACAGCAUCAGGAAAUGUGCUGUCUGCAUCUAUGGUUUUGAUUUGUUUCUAUAUGCCUUCAAACCCAAAAGUUUAGCUGACUGCUGAGGAAGACAGCAAUGCAGGACGCAGGACUCAUUCUCCAGUUAAGAAAGUCUAACACACAAUCAGCUUGUUUUUGUGGUGUCCAUGCAGCAGAAUGAUUUGGAGACUCAGCAGUAAUGCUCAGCUUCUCACCAUGUAACUAUGGUAUGGCCCUAAGCAAGUUACUCCGUCUCUGUGACUCAUUUUGUUAUAUGUGUAAGGAUUGUGCUCCUGGGUCUGUGGGAGGGAAGGACGUGUGUUGUGCUUGCAAUGUAUAAAGUCAAAUGCUAAAUGCUACUGUGUGCCUUGUUGACAGGCUUUGCAUUCUGCAGUUGCAGGGCACUGUCAUCUUCUGAGUGCCUAAAGCCGGGAGAGAGCUAGGUAACAUGGAAAUCGAGACUAAAACAGUGCUUCAAACAUGCACACGUCAUGCAUCUUCCACAAUCAACGGCUAGACUUGCAAUCACAGCUGGGUAAAUGCUAUGACGAUCUUGUUCUCAGUGAUUAACUGUGUUGUAUUUACAUGCUGAAAGAAGUUACUCACCACGGUAAGUAAAACGUGUCAAGACCCUGCUGGUAGACAAACUGGAAGCAGCUGCGUUAUCAGAAUACGGCUUAGAUCCCCACUUCCUAUAAACCAUGCUGAAGAUUAAGUCAGACCUAAGCUAACAGGCCCUAGCAAUGGAUCCACCCUUCCAUUUCCCACCUAAAGGGGAAAUCACCUGCUAGCACAUAAAGUUCAGAAUCCUAGAGGGCCUUCAUUUUCAUUGCAGUAUUUGAUUUGAAAGUAUCAUUUCUUAAAAUGUUGGUGCAUUUCUGUAUUUGUGAAAAGGCAGCUUGAAUAGAACAAGAAGAAAUCUUCAAAUACGACAUAGAGUUUGGGGGCUUAGAUCAUUAUUACUGAUGGGUCCUCUUGCUUGAUUUUGUCAUUAAUAGGGAGUAGCGCUUGAAUAAUAAUGAAACAAAGUCCAUCAGUUGCUCCAAUUCUUGCAGGCUAGUCUCCAGUCUUCUUCAACCUGGGAAAGACUGCAGUUCAGCAGAUUUGCAAACUCUAUUAGACUUCUCAAAGAAACAACGUUCUUGCUGGAGGGAGUCAAAUCUCAACAAAGCCCACAGCUGGGUGUCCUUUGGAAAUGACCGGAGUAAGACUGCAUUGUUAUUUCACUACAAAAUUUAUGUUCUGAAUAUCCCUUCUUAACUGAUGUUAGCCUUAGAGAUAUCUGAGGACCCUUAGUGCACAAGUUUGCAUUUCAGAAAGUCUUUAGAUAUGUUACCAGAACAGUCUGUGUCUUAAAACACAGUGGACAAAUAAAUGUGUCAGCCAUGCCUGAUCCCCGUUGGAAUAAACUGCGCAUUUCUGUGCCAGUUUGUUCCAGCAGUAUUAUCAGAGCAUUGCUACUAAAGUAGGAAUUUCACAAAAAACCCCAUCUAUAUGAUGUAAUGAAGUUGCAGAAUUUAUACCCAAUAACCCAAAAUCAAAUCUUUCCCUCCUUUCUAGAAGUGAUUUGACCACAUCUCUCACUUUCUGGAUGCGUACUCUGACCACUGGCUACUCUCUAGGGGCUGUCUGUCAGUCCCUAGGUUCGUGGGACAGUACAGCCAACAUAUCUGCUGCUGAAAGGUAAGAUAACAUCAGGAAGGGAGGUAGGAUUUAGGUUCCUGUCCUGGCUUCACCAGGUGGAGGAACUUCAACAGGAGACACUGAAAAGUCUCAGGCUCUUUCAUCUCUAACUCUGGCUCUGCUUUGUGUAAAAAUGUAUCAUUUUAAUAAGUUUUAAGUAUCUUUAUGUGCUUAGUGCUGUGGUUAUGAUUUGCCUUUUUAAACGAUGAGACAUUUUACAAGAAGAAGACACUGAUGCCCUAUAAGAAGGACAUGAGCAGCCUGAGGCUCAGCCUGAGACAGCUUGGGGAAGAAUUACAGAAAGGCACUGUGAGAUCUGAAAAAAUAAAUUUUAAUGCAGGUUAGGACACUAGAAAGGAACAUAAAAUCAGCAAGGUUAAACCUGAAGUGGAGAUUAACGGGACGUCGGAAGAAUAAAUGCUUACAAUUACAAGAGCAGAUAACAAAGGUUUCUGGUACAGCAGAAACAGAAGGACUGAAAGAGAAUUAAAGACUUCUUCAGGUUAUUAAAAAGCCAGAGUAUCAAUGAAAAUAAUAUAGAGUUUGUAGACUUCUUGAUUUCAUUCUGCAACAGUUUUUGCUAGGGAGCGUUCUGAACAAAUACUCAAGGCUUACUGUCUUUAAGUAGUACAGAUGAGACACUAUGUUCAAAAGUUCUUAUGAAAUAAACACUAUUAGUUUAACUGUGAAUAUCAGGUGAGAAGAUAGAAGCAAUAGGUAAGGUAUGGGAUCUAUUUCUACUUUGGAUGUUCUUUGUUCUGUGGCCCUGACCCAGCUGCUCAGUUUGAAUUUAUUCCGUUUGUUGCAUGUGAUUAUUCUUAUUUCAGAGGAGUUGUUGGAAAGAUUAACAGCAAAGGAUUUCUAAGGAUCUUUCAUUUCUGUAAAGUCUUUUGGUGAAAGACAUGGUUCUGGUAAGAGAUAAAGAAGUACUAUUUCAAUAAAUUGUUUCCAUAGACUUUCAUUGGUCGGGGGAAACCACAACCUACCACAGUUUUCCUGUGCAUUGGAAAGUACCCAAAUAUUGCUGGAGAAGUAAUCAAAAUACUAUCAGUUUCUGAGCAAUUUCCUCCACUUUAUUGAUUUAUUGGUACUUUAGUCUGUUUCAUACCAUGUCCGGGUCACAAAGUUUUAAACACAUUUUCUAAUGAAAAUCGUACUACAAAAUGGAAACAGGGGUUGUUCAGUUAGGUUACAGGACUCCAGGUGUUUCUCUCGGGGGAUUUGUGGAUGUUUAUGGUAAACUCAUCUGUUGAAAUCAGACAUUUAUAGUUUGUUGGCUCUUAGUGGUGUCAUGCCACCACCUCCCUGUGAAUGGCAGCGUUCAGCGACUGCACCCCGAAGGUUUUCUGCAGUGCUCUUUAGCAGCCAGUUCCCUGUACUGACUUGGCUCUGCAGUGUUCGCCUGCUGGGGGAAAUUUUAGGGCCGCUUAGUCCUCACAGUGGCUUCUACUGCAUUCUCUCCAGUGCUGCAGUGACCUAAACCGAGGGACACCUCUACUACUAUCUUCCCUGGUUUGGGCCAUUAAAAAAGAGAGAAGAGGGGCUUCUAUCUUUGCCUUCUUGUCUCCUAAAUCUUGGUGCCUGGUGCAAGAGGGUAUUAGGAGAUUCUGAGAACUGUCUGUGGCUCUCAGAAGUGGAGCUGUGUCCUUUUUGUCCGCGAUCAGUUGAGUUCAAAGGGACUGAAGACAGCUGACUGCGUCAGCAGAAACGCACAACCAAGAUGACACUUCCUCAGACUUUCUUUUUAGAGCUUUUCCAAGGCCUGCCACCCAUAGUCAUGAAAGGACCUAAAAAUUUGAGUAUUGCAAGCUGUUUCCAGCCAGGAUUUCAAUAUGGGACGAGUUUUUACUCUGUACUUCUUUUGCUACAGAGGUAGGUUUGUGCAGAUGAGCCAUGCCACAGUUUUGAUUAGUAGGUAAGCUGCGAAGCCCAGAAUAAGGUGUCAGUGCUUUGUAUAUGUCCUGUGGCAAACAUGAAAGAAAGGGAGGGAUGGAUGUGACAAAGUGCUAUCAGAGAGGUGCAGUGGCAUAACAUGGCUCAGUAGAAGUUACUAAUCAGCACAUGCUGAUGUGAAGACUAAUCUCACUUUUUCUUUUCUGUUACCAUGUGGAUAGACCUACCACUGUUUUAAACAAUAGUGAACUUUUUACUAUUGCACCUUCCCUUGUUCUUUUUGCUUGGCAUACCACCUUUUCUUGGAUUUGUCUCCACACCCAAAACAAUUAACAUAGCCAGUACUAAGCUUCCCCUAGUAAUAUUGGCUAGCAGAUAUAGCUGAGAUUCAAAAACACUGAACUGCAUUUUAAGGUGUAGAAUAAAAACCUGAGAUGGAGUAGAAUUUCAUGUCUGGUUCUCUUAUUUAUAGUGGCGGCAAAAAA